CAGGAGGAACACCGGUGGCGAAGGCGGAUCUCUGGGCCGAUACUGACGCUGAGGAGCGAAAGCAUGGGGAGCGAACAGGAUUAGAUACCCUGGUAGUCCAUGCCGUAAACGUUGGGCACUAGGUGUGGGCGACAUUCCACGUUGUCCGUGCCGCAGCUAACGCAUUAAGUGCCCCGCCUGGGGAGUACGGCCGCAAGGCUAAAACUCAAAGGAAUUGACGGGGGCCCGCACAAG
rnacentral:rRNA from 1 species